rnacentral:rRNA from 1 species
CGCAUCUGUGCAUGCAGCAUAUCAAUAAGCGGAGGAAAAGAAACUAACAAGGAUUCCCCUAGUAACGGCGAGUGAAGCGGGAAGAGCUCAAAUUUGAAAUCUUAAAGGGUUUCCCUUUACGAAUUGUAGUUUAAAGAAGUGUUUUCUGUUGAGGUUUUGGUAAAAGUUCUUUGGAAUAGGACAUCAUAGAGGGUGAGAAUCCCGUAUUUGACCUUUACUUUCAACUUUGUGAUACACUUUCAAAGAGUCGGAUUGUUUGGGAAUGCAGUCCAAAAUGGGUGGUAAAUUUCAUCUAAAGCUAAAUAUUGGCGAGAGACCGAUAGCGAACAAGUACCGUGAGGGAAAGAUGAAAAGAACUUUGAAAAGAGAGUUAAACAGUACGUGAAAUUGUCAAAAGGGAAGCGUUUCGACACCAGUGUUGUUUUUCUGAAAAUCAAUUAAAGAACUGUUUAUGCUAAGCUGUUUAGACUUUAUCAGCUAUCUGUUUAGUUUUGAGCUUUUCUUUAAUGCACUUUUCAGUUAACAAGUCAACAUCAAUUUCUUUUGCUGUAAAAAAGCUUGAGGAAGGUGGCUUGAGAUUCGUCUUAAGUGUUUAUAGCCUCUUGCCUAUGCAGUCGGAGAGAUUGAGGUCUGCAGCGUAGAUCCUUCGGGGCUAAAUGCAUUUGUGCUAAGUUAUAGCAUUUUAUAGACAACUUGUUGACUAUGAUUUGUCUUGUAGCUUACUCGCUUAUGUUAUUUUACCUACGCUUAGGAUGUUGAGUCAUCACACAUCUCU